CCUACGGGCGGCAGCAGUGAGGAAUAUUGGUCAAUGGACGAGAGUCUGAACCAGCCAAGUAGCGUGAAGGAUGACUGCCCUAUGGGUUGUAAACUUCUUUUAUAUGGGAAUAAAAUGUUCCACGUGUGGGUUUUUGUAUGUAUCAUAUGAAUAAGGAUCGGCUAACCCCGUGCACGCAGCCGCGGUAAUACGGAGGAUCCGAGCGUUAUCCGGAUUUUUUGGGUUGAAAGGGAGCGUAGGAGGAUUGUUAAGUCAGUUGUGAAAGUUUGCGGCUCAACUGUAAAAUUGCAGUUGAAACUGGCAGUCUUGAGUACAGUAGAGGUGGGCGGAAUUCGUGGUGUAGCGGUGAAAUGCUUAGAUAUCACGAAGAACUCCGAUUGCGAACGCAGUUCACUGGACUGCAACUGACACUGAGGCUCGAAAGUGUGGGUAUCAAACAGGAUUAGAUACCCGGGUAGUC
rnacentral:rRNA from 1 species